UCAACCUAAUCUGUUAUUCUCAAAAAUAUUUUAAACUGCUCCACUCAUUUCCUUACUAAUUUUGGGCAGGUCAUCAUAACUGAAAACAUUUCUCAAGAUCAUCAAUAACUGUAUACCAAAGAUUCUACAUUGUUUGUCUGUCGUAAGUUAAAUCCUUGCCGGAAUUCACUGGUAUCAAGCAAAUAAGACGAAUGGAUUAAUCCACGCAUCAGAUUUCGUCAAGUAAAAACUGAAAACAAAAAGUAGCCACUAGAUGAGUUACUGCUACAAACCAUACAUGUUCUACCAAGCCACAAAGACAUUAAGAAAACUACACAAUUAAUCACUUGAAGAUCCAUCAUCAUCUUCAUGCUCUGCCACAACCUUCUCGAGGAAACUCUUUCGUACUCCAUCCAAAACAGCUUCUCUGGAUUGUUCAUGUUUUCUACGUCCAUCAUUUAGUACAGGAUCCGAUUGGCAGAGUGUUAGUGCAACACCUAAAACCGAAUAGAUGAAGAGCAAUCAUAUCAACUGACAAGCCAGCAAAUAGUAUUAAAAGAAGCAAAUUGCUACCAGAACAAUUUGAUAAAAGCAAACCUAAUACCUGAUAAAACACUAGAAAAGAAAACACUAAAACCAUGCACAAAGACGAAAAGUUGCUAUAGAAAUACAUGUGGAAAUAACUAGCCGAAAACGGUUAGAUGCAGCAGACAAAACCUUCCUGAAAACAGGGCAAGGUCCAAAAUUGUCUUAAAAGUGCAGGCAAACUUAGCAAGAGAACAGCUACCAACAUAACCAAGAAACUGAUGAAGAUUAAUAGUCAUGUCUAAUGUUGUGCACACCUCUGCUUUCAGCAAAUGUUUUAUAUAAGAGAAGAUAUAUGCCUUACAACAUUAAAAGGAAUUCAAGAGACACUCAACCUUUGUCUAAAUAUGAGUAGGCAAAAAGAGGUAACACGUGAAACUUUCCCAAAAGAAUGUCAGCACGUCAAGAACGUUUUGAACGUAAAUGGGCAUAUUUCCACCUACUACACUGACGCCAAAUAAAUGCAAGAUACCAGAAAGAAUACCACAUAUCAAUCAGCCAUGUUAGUAGCUUUAUGACUGCACCUUAUUAAUCUAUCACCCUAAGGACUCCAGUAAUCUCUACCCUUUCAUCUUUCUGUACAGUGCAUGCACAACUAUAUAAAGAAAUGAAGCUCUUCUUUCUCUUGCACACUUGUAAUAAUAAAAAUUAAGUCUCACUUCUCAGGACGAUGCCUAGUGCAAAGAGAUGAAACUAGCUAGUCAUGUGUAAAUGACAAAGUAACAGAAUACAUCAAGUAUAAAAUAGCUGGAAUGUGAAAAGUGUUAUAAAAUAUAACCCAAAAUAACAAUAAAAGUGAAGAAAAUAUGUCAUGGAAUAUGUCAUUGAACAUACAAAAUAUGUCAUUGAAUAUGUCAUUNAACAUUUGAGAUGAAGAUCAUGGAAGAAGAGUAGACAUCCACCAUAAUGUGAUAUUUAUCAUAACACUCCCCCUUGGAUGUCCAAAGAUAAUGUGCCUCGUUAAAAUCUUAUUAGGAAAAAAAACUCUAUGAAAAAAAAAUCCUAGUGAAGGAAAAAGAGUACACAUGUUUAGAAAUACGUCUUUUGGUUGUCUCGUUAAAAACCUGGCAAGGAAAACCCAGUGGGACAAAACCUUGUAAGGGAAAAAGAGUACAACGCGUAUUAACUCCCCCUGAUGAGAGCAUCAACUCACAUCCUUGAGUCUUCG
rnacentral:lncRNA from 1 species